UGAUAUCCCUAUAAACACAGCUUGAUCAGUUAACUAGUUCAAUCAAGGAUGGGUGGGAGGACUCACAGGCUGGAGCAGAGAGGCGGCCAGUUUCAAGUGAUGCCCAUUCUGGGCUUCCCAAUCCAGUUUUCUCUGAGCUGUUUUCUGUAGUUGGGUUUUCUACAGUGAACAUAAACUGUCAACCUCUGCUCAGAGAGUCAUGACAGCAGAGGCAUGGAGACCAGCAGAAUGACCUCACCUCCACCUUCUCCCCUAGUGUAAACACUUGACCCAUGGCUACUACCUAAUCCACAAAGGGGAAAGGAAGGCAGGUGCCUGUGGACCACAUUUCCUAUGGAAAUGCUAUAAACAGGAGUGUCCUGGCUAACUGGCUCUCUGGUGGGGAUGGGGGAUGGGGGAUGGGGGAUGGGGGCAGUGGGCAGGGAUGAAGAGUUACCCUGAUGUGUAGCCUUUCCCAAGUUUUGUGGUAUAAGUAAUCUUACCAUAGAUGUCAAACUGCUAACAGAUCAGUAACCUGCUGACAAUAUUCCUGAACAUUUAACUAUUGACUCUGGAAAGCCAGAUAAUAAUUUAAUGAGUUCUUUUUCAGGAGCUGUUUUUGUUUUUGAGAGAAUCCUGUGAACUAAGAGGGAACUCUACUGAAGGAAUGUCAAGCAUAAAACCUAUAAUCAAAUCCUCUCUUCAUGGAGCUUAUAGUCCAGCUGCAAGUUCAGCAACAUGCAAUACAGAAGCAAGAAUCACUUGCUUAUAAGGUAUAAAUGGAGUGUCAUCUUUUCAAGGAGAGAGAAACAGAUGCCCUUUGAGAAGGGGAGACGGAAGGGGAAGGAAAGUUCUGAAGGCAGAGGUGUCCAGAGAAGCCGAAGCAUGCAAUGGGAGGCACAGGAGUGAGAGUGAACUUCAAUAGACACACACUGACCCAAAAGAGUUGUGCAUCAAAGACACAUUCUGAUAACUCUGCAACUUUUGCAGAGAGCCGAUGACGUUCUAAUUGUAACAUUUCCCUUUUUACUUUUUCUUCCUUGGUGAAUGGUGGUAGACCUAUUGAUUACACCAUAAAGAUAAGAGGGAAAAGAAGGAAUGACUGCUUUUCUCAUAUAAUUAUCUUUUUAAAGUCCUUGUCCUGGUUUGCACACUCAAAAAGGAACACAGAAUUUGCAAUUAUAGGGAAGUUAUUUCUGAGCAUAAUUAAAUGCUCUCCAUCUUUCUCUCACACAAAAGCUUGCAAAUUCCAAGCUAGUAGAUUUUUGAAUCCUAUCAAUCAUUUCUAUUUUUAAAUUAUAUUCCAGAUUUAUUAUAUGAUAUACUAAUUAUAAUACAAUAUUUGCAAUAAUGAAAAUGUAUUUGAAUAGUCAAUUGGAACCCACAAGUCAACUCCUAGAUAGAUGCCUUAGUGGCUCUGAAAGGUGGUCCCCACUUGGGAUUUGUUAAAAUGCAAACACCUGGGCCCCACUCUGGGUGUACAGAAUCAGAAAUUCAGGGAGUGAAACUCAACAGUCUUUUUAAUAAGCCCUCCAGUUGAUUCUGAUACAUGUUAAGAUUGAGAACCACUUCUUCAGCAGUGUUUCCCAACCUUUUCCCUUCGUGGCAAAAAAAAAACCUGCACACGUACCCUGAACCUAAAAUAAAAGUUUAAACAAAAGAGAAAAUGAUGGCAUUUGUACAAUACCCCAUGUUAAGUGGAUAAGGCUGCCAGAGGCUUGCCCCAGACCCUAUUUGUGUUGGCCUGAGCAGCUCACCGUAACCUUUUCAUGAUCCACCAGCAGAAAAACUCAGAUCUGAAGAAACUCACACCAGUGCAAAAACAACUAUAUAUACAUUCUUUUUGUUAAUUAUGGC
rnacentral:lncRNA from 1 species